rnacentral:rRNA from 1 species
AGUGAACGCUGGCGGUAGGCCUAACACAUGCAAGUCGAACGGCAGCACAGUAAGAGCUUGCUCUUACGGGUGGCGAGUGGCGGACGGGUGAGGAAUACAUCGGAAUCUACUUUUUCGUGGGGGACAACGUCGGGAAACUUACGCUAAUACAGCAUACGACCUACGGGUGAAAGCAGGGGAUCUUCGGACCUUGCGCGAUCGAAUGAGCCGAUGUCGGAUUAGCUAGUUGGCCGGGUAACGGCCCACCAAGGCGACGAGCCGUAGCUGGUCUGAGAGGAUGAUCAGGCACACUGGAACUGAGACACGCUCCAGACUCCUACGGGAGUCAGCAGUGGGGAAUAUUGGCCAAUGGGCGCAAGCCUGAUCCAGGCAUACCGCGUGGGUGAAGAAGGCCUUCGGGUUGUAAAGCCCUUUUGUUGGGAAAGAAAAGCAGUAGGUUAACACCCCGCUGUUCUGACGGUACCCAAAGAAUAAGCACCGGCUGACUUCGUG